rnacentral:lncRNA from 1 species
CUUCCUUCAACUUUCAGGCAGUGGCUGUUGGGACCAGGUUCCUCAAGACUCCCCAGGGCCUCUGAAUGGCCUUCUUGGGACACAGGCCCACCGAGUCCUGGAGAGAGUAACUCACUGACCCAAAAGGAGUCUCUCAGGGAAGCCGUUGUCACUUGUCAGGGAGAUUUCCAUGGUGGAUUCAGUUUCUUCCCUGCCUGCCUCGACUUACUUUCUCCUGGUGUCUCCCUCACAGCCAGAAGUCUCUCCAGACAUGCAGCUCGUGCCACUGCAAAUACAUUGGAAAAUUUCAAAAAGGAUUCAGAAAGCAAAAUUGCCUGGAACCCCAAGGCCCAGAGAUAACUGCAUUUUAAAUUAGAAUUGAAUGGCUUUUCUUUCCCUUUGCAUCCCAGCAAGCUCCACGUCACCAAGCAGUCUGGAGAAAGUGAGUAUUCAAGCUUCCUAUUCUUCGCUCUUUUUGAGCAUGUGUGGCUAUUUUAAACCUGAGAAGAAUCCUGGAGUAGUGAAUUUUUAAUCAUUUCUAAUUUUUUCUGGAGAUUGAA